CUUGUUAACACUAUUGAUGACGUAAGGAAGGUACCUUACGUGAAGAUCAUAGCUGAAGGUAGGACUCCCAACUGCUUUGCCUCAACCUCCAGGCUUGGAAGACCCUGGUUGUAAAGGUAACAGGACCUUCAUUGCAUCCCCUACAAGAAGACCACAGCUUUGGUUAAUCACAGCCAAGAUUGUUUGGGUGGGUGCCAGCGAAAAGUGGAGCCGCAGCAUUUCUCACUAGAAGCUUACUUCGCUGAAGCAUCAGUGGCAGCACAGGAAAUGAUACGCCCUGGCUGGUCCAACCACUUACAUAGCAGGCUGCCAUUGACUGUUUGCAACUGUGAAGAACCAUAAACUAAGGACAUAAGGCAAAAGCAAGCUAAAGGUUUCUGGCUGGCAACAAGGAAGGGGAACAGGAAGCAAAAGCAUAAAGCAAGGACCAUAAUCGAGAACAUCCUCAGUUUGGGCAAGACAGCAAACCAAGAUAGAAAAAAAUGACUUACCAGACACCCCGUCAUACCAGCAAUUCAGUCUGUGAGAUGAAGACCAAAAGAGGAAAAAUAAAUAAUAACGUCAUGAUAUCUGGCAAUGACAGCAUGAUUACAGCACCUUGGAAUAUCUUCCUGUGGUCUUCACUUAAUGGAAAACAAAACUAUUGCUCCACUGUUUUUUCUUUUUUUCUGUUUCUCAGAUUUUCAAUAAUAUGCUACUAAAUUUAAUUUUAACUCAUUAGUUAAAUUCUAAACAGUUCAUUCCUGGCUGCAUCUAUUUCCUUAACCCAGAUAUGUUCAUUAUUGUUUAUUGUCAACUUGCUAACACAUAGAGAAACCUAAGAAGGAGGAAUCUCAUUUGUGAAAUUUUCUAGCUGAGACAGGCUUGUGGACAUGUCUUUGGUGCAUUCUCUUUAAUGCUAAUUGCAGUAGCAUGAACUACAGUUUAUCCUGGGCUAUGUAAGACAGCUAGCUAACUUGUGUUCCUGUAAGGCUUCUACUUCAUGCUUGCACUCUGCUUGAGCUCCUGUUCUGCUUACCUCCAUGACAGAAUGUAACUUGGAUUAUAACCUAAGAUAAAACCUUUCACACCUAUCACACCUUUGGUCAAGAUGUUUGUCAAACCAUAAGAAGCAAGCUGUAACAAUAAGUCACAUAAUGGGAAAGAUGCAUCUAAAUCACACACAAGGGUGUGUUGCUUAAUUUAUAAAUAUACUGGAGACAUUCAUAUAUCCAUGAAAAAUAUGACAUUAUAUCUAAGGAAAUAGGCUGCAAUGAUAUCACAUCAGAUAUUAAACAAGAGUAAAUUCCGGGUAAGUG
rnacentral:lncRNA from 1 species